GCUAAAUCCUAGCACAUGUAAGUCAUCUUUUUUCCCUUUCUUUUGCUCUUUACACAGGUCCUCUGAGGGUCAGAGAGGAAGGAGCAGGGACAGGAAGAGGGGAGAUUCAGAGGAUUCCCCAAAAUGCAACAUUUCAAGGACUUCCUGAGCUACACUUUGCAUCUAAGCUCUCACCCUCUUAUAUUAUAGCCUCAAACCCCUCCAGAGAAGAAUCAAUGCAAGUUCUACCUUACUGUCAAGGGACACUUAGUCACAGAACAAGCCAAACUCUGGGAGAAGUGUGAAAAUGAAGUCUGAAGGUGCUCUGAGAUGGGAAGUGUUGAGCAGCUCAUGAGCAGCAUGCAGGUGGUGAGAGACUCUUCUCAGCACAACAUGGCGUGAGCAUUGCCAGCCCAUAGGAAUUAAUGCAAAGAAAACUGAAAUUAUAACAAAAGUCACUUUUCCUCCCUCAAUGACUUGAGCAUUUAGAUUGUGAAGCAUAAUCCUUCACAAACUCUCAGACCUGCACUUCCACAGGGCGGGAGUGUGCUUGUCACAGUUAGUUAUCUGUCAAAGUACAGGCUGGGCACAGGGAAACUGGAGAAAAGCUGAACUGAGGAAUGUUACUUGAGAAGUGCCCUGGUUUGUACUUGUGUUUCCACAGAGCUAGUUGACAGAGUUGUGCUAGAGUUCUGGUAAAGGAAAAACAGAUGAGUUUUCAACUUGCAAUCCAUAUGGUCAUCACUUUCUCAUACCCUUAAUUAGAAAGCCUCUUGCCAGAAAAUUAAAAAACUCUAAAAAACUUUGCUGCAAAUGUACAAUGCUUAAACCAGGUACAUUAAUAAGGCUUGAUACCAGCUCUAGCAAGAAGCCCUGGUAAGCAAUUAACUGUGAGACAGAGAGGAAGUCCCCUUAUAUGCAUUAAUUUACUCAUAGUCCUGUUAGGUCCAUUGACACUUUACUAAAAGCUGUGAAUUGAUUUCCUUGAACCAUACAAUAGGCUCUGUGCCCCAAAUGUAAAAAAAAUAUAGAUAACACAUGAUUUGUUCAAAUUGUGUUAACCCUUAAGUCCUCAGGGCAACCAGAACUGAAGUUGCACAUCAAGUUGAAGCCUUACGUGCUGCACUCUUUCUCACUUCAAAAUAUUUCUGUCUCUCUUUGGAAGGUGAUUUAGAAAUGCAGGAAUCACUCCAGGAAUUUAAAUUGCAUACCAAAAAGUCCAAUAAUUCUCUUGCUUCUUUAACAAGAUUGAACAUUUGAUAAAAUUGUGUAAAAGAAUAUAUUAUAUUUGAGUUCUUCCUAUAAUUCCAGAUAAUAGUACAUGGCCACAGUUAAUUUGCCAGAUUUGAAUUGCAUAAGGCACACAUGAAAUGAAAACUCCUGCUGAAAUUAGUGGA